rnacentral:rRNA from 1 species
AGAGUUUGAUCCUGGCUCAGGACGAACGCUGGCGGCGUGCUUAACACAUGCAAGUCGAACGGAAAGGCCCUUCGGGGUACUCGAGUGGCGAACGGGUGAGUAACACGUGGGUGAUCUGCCCUGCACUCUGGGAUAAGCCUGGGAAACUGGGUCUAAUACCGGAUAGGACCACACACUUCAUGGUGAGUGGUGCAAAGCUUUUGCGGUGUGGGAUGAGCCCGCGGCCUAUCAGCUUGUUGGUGGGGUAAUGGCCCACCAAGGCGACGACGGGUAGCCGGCCUGAGAGGGGUGACCGGCCACACUGGGACUGAGAUACGGCCCAGACUCCUACGGGAGGCAGCAGUGGGGAAUAUUGCACAAUGGGCGCAAGCCUGAUGCAGCGACGCCGCGUGAGGGAUGACGGCCUUCGGGUUGUAAACCUCUUUCAGUAGGGACGAAGCGAAAGUGACGGUACCUACAGAAGAAGGACCGGCCAACUACGUGCCAGCAGCCGCGGUAAUACGUAGGGUCCGAGCGUUGUCCGGAAUUACUGGGCGUAAAGAGCUCGUAAGUGGUUUGUCGCGUUGUUCGUGAAAACUCACAGCUUAACUGUGGGCGUGCGGGCGAUACGGGCAGACUAGAGUACUGCAGGGGAGACUGGAAUUCCUGGUGUAGCGGUGGAAUGCGCAGAUAUCAGGAGGAACACCGGUGGCGAAGGCGGGUCUCUGGGCAGUAACUGACGCUGAGGAGCGAAAGCGUGGGUAGCGAACAGGAUUAGAUACCCUGGUAGUCC